GGUCGCGCGGGCGCUGAUCAGAAGCUCUGGCUUCUCUGAAGCGCUACGCGGCGGAACGGGUGAGUCAACACGUACGGCAAACCCGGCCCCCAAGUUUCGGGAACAAACUCCCGGAAAACGGUAGCUCAAUCACCGAAAUCGUUUGUUUUCUUCGCCGAAGGAAAACCGGAAAGAACGGAGCAAUCUGUCACUUCGGGGAACGGGCCCGCGGCGCAUUAGCUAGUUCGGUGGGGUAACGGCUUCACCAAGGCGAACGAAUGCGUAGCCGAACCUGAGAGGGUUGAUCGGCCACACUGGGACUGAAACACGGCCCAGAACUCCUACGGGAGGCAGCAGUAGGGAAUCUUCCGCAAUGGGCGAAAGCCUGACGGAGCAAUGCCGCGUGAGUGAUGAAGGUUUUCGGAUCGUAAAGCUCUGUUGCCAGGGAAGAACGCUUGGGAGAGUAACUGCUCUCAAGGUGACGGUACCUGAGAAGAAAGCCCCGGCUAACUACGUGCCAGCAGCCGCGGUAAUACGUAGGGGGCAAGCGUUGUCCGGAAUUAUUGGGCGUAAAGCGCGCGCAGGCGGUCAUUUAAGUCUGGUGUUUAAUCCCGGGGCUCAACCCCGGAUCGCACUGGAAACUGGGUGACUUGAGUGCAGAAGAGGAGAGUGGAAUUCCACGUGUAGCGGUGAAAUGCGUAGAUAUGUGGAGGAACACCAGUGGCGAAAGCGACUCUCUGGGCUGUAACUGACGCUGAGGCGCGAAAGCGUGGGAGCAAACAGGAUAGAUACCCUGGUAGU
rnacentral:rRNA from 1 species